UACGGAGGGGGCGAGCGUUAUUCGGAAUUAUUGGGCGUAAAGAGCUCGUAGGUGGCUUGUCACGUCGGGUGUGAAAGCUUGGGGCUUAACUCCAGGUCUGCAUUCGAUACGGGCUGGCUAGAGGUAGGUAGGGGAGAACGAAUUCCUGGUGUAGCGGUGAAAUGCGUAGAUAUCGGGAGGAACACCGGUGGCGAAGGCGGCCUUCUGGACGGAUACUGACGCUGAGACGCGAAAGCGUGGGGAGCAAACAGG
rnacentral:rRNA from 1 species